AGAGUUUGAUCCUGGCUCAGAGUGAACGCUGGCGGCGUGGAUAGGGCAUGCAAGUCGAGCGAUCCUGAUUUACGAAGCGAGCUGAGGUCUUCGGACUAAAGCUUGUGGAGUAAAUCAGGAUAGCGGCAAACGGCAGAGUAACACGUGGGUAACCUACCCUUAGGAGGGAGAUAGCCUCCUGAAAAGGAGGGUAAUAUCCCAUAAUACCAUAGAUUCUACGGAAUCUGUGGUUAAAGGUGGCCUCUAGGAGGUAACUCCUACGCUACCGCCUAAGAAGGGGCCCGCGGCCUAUCAGGUAGUUGGUAGGGUAACGGCCUACCAAGCCUGUGACGGGUAGCUGGCCUGAGAGGGUGGUUAGCCUGACGGGGACUGAGAUACGGCCCCGACUCCUACGGGAGGCAGCAGUCGAGAAUCUUUUGCAAUGGGCGAAAGCCUGACAAUGCGACGCCGCGUGGGGGAUGAAGCCUUUCGGGGUGUAAACCCCUUUUGCCAGGGAAGAAAGCUUAGAAGGUGAAUAAUCUUCUAGGUCUGACGGUACCUGGCGAAUAAGCUGCGGCUAACUCCGUGCCAGCAGCCGCGGUAAUACGGAGGCAGCGAGCGUUACUCGGUAUGACUGGGUGUAAAGGGUCCGCAGGCGGCUGAGUAAGUGGAGGGUGAAAUCUUUGGGCUUAACCCAAAGGCUGCUCUCCAAACUGCUCAGCUUGAGGCCGGGAGAGGAGAGUGGAACUGCCGGUGUAAGGGUGAAAUCUGUGGAUAUCGGCAGGAACGCCAGUGGGGAAGCCGGCUCUCUGGACCGGUCCUGACGCUCAGGGACGAAAGCUGGGGGAGCGAACAGGAUUAGAUACCCUGGUAGUCCCAGCCGUAAACGAUGGGUACUAGGUGUUGGGCUCUUAAUGAGCUCAGUGCCGAAGCUAACGCGUUAAGUGCCCCACCUGGGAACUACGGCGGCAACGCUAAAACUCAAAGGAAUUGGCGGGGGCCAGCACAAGCGGUGGAACACGUGGUUUAAUUCGAUGCUACGCGAGGAACCUUACCAGGGCUUGACAUGCUGGUAGUACCUACCCGAAAGGGUCAGGGACCCGUAACCAGUCGGGAACCAGCACAGGUGCUGCAUGGCUGUCGUCAGCUCGUGCCGUGAGGUGUCGGGUUAAGUCCCGCAACGAGCGCAACCCUCGCCCCUAGUUGCCAACUUCUCACAAUUUUGUGAGAAUGGCUCUCUAGAGGGACUGCCUGCUUAAAGCAGGAGGAAGGUGGGGAUGACGUCAAGUCCGCAUGGCCCUUAUGCCCUGGGCUACACACGUGUUACAAUGCCCGCUACAGCGGGAAGCAAACCCGUAAGGGGGAGCAAAUCCCUAAAAAGUGGGCCCAGUUCGGAUCGAGGGCUGCAACUCGCUCUCGUGAAGCCGGAAUCGCUAGUAACGGCGCAUCAGCCACGGCGCCGUGAAUACGUUCCCUGGCCUUGCACACACCGCCCGUCACGCCAUGGGAGUUGGGGGCACCCGAAGCGCCUACAUUUGGUAGGUGCGAAGGUGAACCUGGCGACUGGGGCGAAGUCGUAACAAGGUAGCCG
rnacentral:rRNA from 1 species